rnacentral:rRNA from 1 species
GAUGAACGCUGGCGGCGUGCCUAACACAUGCAAGUCGAGCGAUUUACUUCGGUAAAGAGCGGCGGACGGGUGAGUAACGCGUGGGUAACCUGCCUCAUACACAUGGAUAACAUACCGAAAGGUAUGCUAAUACAAGAUGAUAUAAGAGAUUCGCAUGGAUUUCUUAUCAAAGCUUUUGCGGUAUGAGAUGGACCCGCGUCUGAUUAGCUCGUUGGUAAGGUAACGGCUUACCAAGGCGACGAUCAGUAGCCGACCUGAGAGGGUGAUCGGCCACAUUGGAACUGAGACACGGUCCAAACUCCUACGGGAGGCAGCAGUGGGGAAUAUUGCACAAUGGGCGAAAGCCUGAUGCAGCAACGCCGCGUGAGCGAUGAAGGCCUUCGGGUCGUAAAGCUCUGUCCUCAAGGAAGAUAAUGACGGUACUUGAGGAGGAAGCCCCGGCUAACUACGUGCCAGCAGCCGCCGUAAAAC